rnacentral:lncRNA from 10 species
GUGGCCUGGCAUUCAAUCUGUGAGGUGGAUGCGUGUUGGAAGGACCCCUUUUGGUUUCUUUUUGCUCAGAGCUUUCUUUUAAUAAAUUCCGCUCUCCUCACCUUUCAAUGUGUCCGUAUGCCUAAUUUUUCCUGGUCCUGUGACAAGAACCUGAUUUUAGCUGAACUAAGGAGCGAAAGAUCCUGGAUCAUUUUGGUGACCCAUACUGGUACAUGAGGAAAGCUCCUAUUCCAGAUUCUCAGAGUAUAGAUUCUGACUGGAUUACCCUGGUCCUUGAAGUAUACCUAGGAGAUGGAAUAACAUUGUAUAAGCAUCCACGUUGUCAUUAAGAGGAAAGAGUUUCCAUUAAAACAGGUCACAAAACCCUCCUGUGAGAGGAACCCUCUGUGGAAGAACAGAAUAUGUCACCCCAAAAUAUGAAGAAUUGUUGAGCUGAAGAUGAUUAAGAAGAAGCGGAUGCAGGAAAGCUCUCUGCUCUCCCUCUAUUUGCUUAAAAGCAGGAUAAACACUUACAAAGACUAAAGACGCCACAAUCAAGAACUCAGAAGGGUAGAAGAAAAAGAUAGUUUCCCUUCCCUACACAGGGUCCAUGCAUUCAGUGGAGUAAUGAUUCCUGUCCAUGAAAAAAAAAAAAGAAAGUAGAAAAUUUCAGAGAAGAGAAAAAUUUUCCACUUGGGAGCAAGGGCAUGAGGGCAGCGGGGAAGUGGUAGAUAUACUGACAUGUUAAUAUAUUAGGUCUUGUAUUUCUUUUGUACAUAGUCUUUCUUCUUUGACUGCCUCGUUCAUGCAUCUCCACUACUUGAAAAAUUAUUUAAUUUACAAGCAUGUGCCAAAGUCCUACAUCAUGCUUCCUCUAAGAUUCUAUGCAAGCCAAUUCAAAGAUUUCUCUCUUAAAAAUAUUUGUAUGAAAAAAAGACAUGGCUAGGAAAUCACUGUUCAGUAGGAUAAAAUAAAAGUGC